rnacentral:tRNA from 1 species
UCAGAAAAAUUUUUUCUUUAAAUUCCAAAUUUAAUGUUUUAUUUCGUAAACUAUUUUCUG